UACGAAGGGAGCUAGCGUUGUUCGGAAUCACUGGGCGUAAAGCGCACGUAGGCGGACUUGUCAGUCAGGGGUGAAAUCCCGGGGCUCAACCUCGGAACUGCCUCUGAUACAGCAAGUCUUGAGUCCGGAAGAGGUGGGUGGAAUUCCUAGUGUAGAGGUGAAAUUCGUAGAUAUUAGGAAGAACACCGGUGGCGAAGGCGGCCCACUGGUCCGGUACUGACGCUGAGGUGCGAAGGCGUGGGGAGCAAACAGG
rnacentral:rRNA from 1 species